rnacentral:rRNA from 1 species
UACGUAGGGGGCUAGCGUUGUCCGGAAUCAUUGGGCGUAAAGAGCGUGUAGGCGGCCCGGUAAGUCCGCUGUGAAAGUCAAAGGCUCAACCUUUGAAUGUCAGCGGAUACUGCCGGGCUAGAGUCCGGAAGAGGCGAGUGGAACUCCUGGUGUAGCGGUGGAAUGCGCAGAUAUCAGGAAGAACACCAACGGCGAAGGCAGCUCGCUGGGACGGUACUGACGCUGGAGACGCGAAAGCGUGGGGAGCGAACAGG